UGGUGGAGUGAUUUGUCUGCUUAAUUGCGAUAACGAACGAGACCUUAACCUGCUAAAUAGCCAGGCUAGCUUUGGCUGGUCGUCGGCUUCUUAGAGGGACUAUCGCCUCAAGGCGAUGGAAGUUUGAGGCAAUAACA
rnacentral:rRNA from 1 species